rnacentral:rRNA from 1 species
GAUAGCUGGUUCUCCCCGAAAGCUAUUUAGGUAGCGCCUCGUGAAUUCAUCUUCGGGGGUAGAGCACUGUUUCGGCUAGGGGGUCAUCCCGACUUACCAACCCGAUGCAAACUACGAAUACCGAAGAAUGUUAUCACGGGAGACACACGGCGGGUGCUAACGUCCGUCGUGAAGAGGGAAACAACCCAGACCGCCAGCUAAGGUCCCAAAGUCAUGGUUAAGUGGGAAACGAUGUGGGAAGGCACAGACAGCCAGGAUGUUGGCUUAGAAGCAGCCAUCAUUUAAAGAAAGCGUAAUAGCUCACUGGUCGAGUCGGCCUGCGCGGAAGAUGUAACGGGGCUAAACCAUGCACCGAAGCUGCGGCAGCGACACUAUG